ensembl:snoRNA
AGCCUCCUGAUGCUUGCUACAGCCUGACUGUACAGAAAGAGGAGGUAGAGUAAACCUACUCCAUAUACACCUCAGCUUAGGCCCUGUGUCUGGUCUGUAUUGGGCAUGGGGAAAUAUAG